ACCUACGGGGGGCAGCAGUGAGGAAUAUUGCGCAAUGGGGGAAACCCUGACGCAGCGACGCCGCGUGAGUGAGGAAGGCCUUCGGGUCGUAAAGCUCUGUCAAAGGGAAAGAAGUGCAUGAUGGCUAAUACCUGUCAUGUUUGACGGUACCCUUAAAGGAAGCACCGGCUAACUCCGUGCCAGCAGCCGCGGUAAUACGGAGGGUGCAAGCGUUGUUCGGAAUCACUGGGCGUAAAGGGCGCGUAGGCGGUUUGAUAAGUCAGAUGUGAAAGCCCACGGCUUAACUGUGGAAGUGCAUUUGAAACUGUCAGACUUGAGUAUCAGAGGGGAAAGUGGAAUUCCCGGUGUAGAGGUGAAAUUCGUAGAUAUCGGGAGGAAUACCGGUGGCGAAGGCGACUUUCUGGCUGAAUACUGACGCUGAGGCGCGAAAGCGUGGGGAGCAAACAGGAUUAGAUACCCGGGUAGUCCG
rnacentral:rRNA from 1 species